rnacentral:rRNA from 1 species
GAUGAACGCUGGCGGCGUGCCUAAUACAUGCAAGUCGAGCGAAUGGAUUAAGAGCUUGCUCUUAUGAAGUUAGCGGCGGACGGGUGAGUAACACGUGGGUAACCUGCCCAUAAGACUGGGAUAACUCCGGGAAACCGGGGCUAAUACCGGAUAACAUUUUGAACCGCAUGGUUCGAAAUUGAAAGGCGGCUUCGGCUGUCACUUAUGGAUGGACCCGGGUCGCAUUAGCUAGUUGGUGAAGUAACGGCUCACCAAGGCAACGAUGCGUAGCCGACCUGGGAGGGUGAUCGGCCACACUGGGACUGAGACACGGCCCAGACUCCUACGGGAGGCAGCAGUAGGGAAUCUUCCGCAAUGGACGAAAGUCUGACGGAGCAACGCCGCGUGAGUGAUGAAGGCUUUCGGGCCGUAAAACUCUGUUGUUAGGGAAGAACAAGUGCUAGUUGAAUAAGCUGGCACCUUGACGGUACCUAACCAGAAAGCCACGGCUAACUACGUGCCAGCCGCCGCAGUAA